GCUCAGCCCAGCCCCCAGGCUGCCGCGGCCCUUGACCUUGCCCCUGGCACGCUCCGCGCACGCGCAGGCCGCACAGGCCGUGGCUGGGCCCAUGGCGUCCGAGCGGCUCCCGAGCCGGCCAGCCUGCCUCCUCGUGGCCAGCGGCGCCGCCGAAGGCGUGUCAGCCCAGUCCUUCCUCCACUGCUUCACACUGGCCAGCGCCGCCUUCAAUCUGCAGGUGGCCACCCCCGGGGGGAAGACCAUGGACUUCGUGGACGUGAACGAGAGCAACGCGCGCUGGGUGCAGGACUUCCGCCUCAAGGCCUACGCCAGCCCCGCCAAGCUCGAGUCCAUCGAUGGUGCCCGGUACCACGCCCUCCUGAUUCCCAGCUGUCCUGGGGCCCUGGCUGACCUGGCCAGCAGCGGGUCCCUGGCUCGCAUCCUGCAGCACUUCCGCUCCGAGAGCAGUAGGUGGCCCCCAGGACUGGGGUUGGAGCCCAUCUGUGCUGUGGGCCACGGCGUUGCCGCCCUCUGCUGUGCCACCAAUGAGGACAGGUCCUGGGUGUUCCAAGGCUACAGCGUCACGGGGCCUUCCGUGUACGAGCUCGUCCGGGCGCCCGGCUUCGCCCACCUGCCCCUGGUCGUGGAGGACUUCGUGAAGGACGCGGGGGCCUGCUUCAGUGCCAGCGAGCCUGACGCCGUGCACGUGGUGCUGGACCGCCACCUGGUCACUGGCCAGAACGCCAGCUCCACCGUCCCGGCCGUGCAGAACCUGCUCUUCCUCUGCGGCAGCCGGAAGUGAGGUGGCCCCGAACUGAGCCCGCCAGCGGAUGCCACCACCUCCAGAUGUCCCGGGUGUCCCCAGAGGCAGCUGGACUCUCAGGCUUCCGGGAACCCCGUAUUCACGACACCCCAGCCUGGCUUGCUGGGGGCUCUGAGGAUCCUCCCUGAGGGUGCACGGUUUCAAAUGUGAUGGCAACCCCGUGUUAAGGCCAGGAUGGACUUUGGGGUGGAUGCUGCAGUGUCACCACGUCCCUUCUGAUGUUGAGAAACACUUUUAAUUGUGGAUACAACACAUGGCCCUGCCCAGGUGGCCUCGGGUCCUGACGGCCGAGCCUGGUUUUGCAGCUGCUCUGCCUGUUUCAAGGUGGAUGUGACGGAGCCGAGUUCCACUUGGAAGGAGGCCUUGAGUGGGGCUGGCUGGGCUGGGUUGGCAGGGGCGGCGGACAGUCCUGGGGAUGCCAGGUGGCUGUCCAGCCAGCCGAGUCCCAGUGCAGCCUGGAGGCUCUCCAGCUUCCCCAGGGCACCUGUCCUGGCCUGUGGCCCUUGGCUGGGGCCUCCUGGAGCCGCUCUGGCCCCGUGUGUCACCAUCCUUGUCUCAGCCUGACUAGCUCUGCCGCAUCCAACCCCUCAGGACAAAGGAGGAGGAAGCAGGGCGCCCGAGUCGGAGGCGAUGCUCCCACGUGCUCCUUUCUGUCCGGCAUCUCCCGGCGUCAGGGCCCCUGCCACCUGCUGGCCUACUCUGUGCACACAUGGGGCCUAGGCAGCCCCAUCGUUCAUCCCGUUUGCAGUCGCCACAUCACGGAGUCAUGGACGUCUCUGGACAAAAAGUUUUUUUCAAAUGAUGACGCCUUCUGACUGUGCAGACCAAGACCCAGGCAGGCUCUGCGGGGGCCCCUCCACAGCCCUGCUCCCUGGUCGCUGAUGCUUUCUGAGUCUGCCCCACUGGCUGGUCCUGGGUAUGCCAGGUCCAGGGCACUGGGGUGGCCACUGGGUGGGUGCAGGUGCCUGUGCCCCCGGGGGCUCCCCACAUUCCCGGGGUGUUUAAAAUAGACCCUGAGGUUUAUCCAAGAGAAAGAAAGACCUACAACUCUACAAAAACAGUGCGUGAACAUCUGUGGUGUUUUUCGCGAUAAGCUGUAGCUUCCAUAAAAGGAGCAUUCUUACUACUGGACGGUAUUAACGUCCAUGCGGUGGACCCUUGGAAGCAAGCUCAGCAAAGGAAACCAGACAGAUAUGAAAAACCCAAAAGCUCAGUGUGGGCCGGUCAUUUGUGGCUGGGAAUGGGGGCAGAUCGGGGGACAAGCAUGUUCUAAGGUGCUGGCCGCACAGGGUUGUACCUGUGAGCAGGCGGGCUUCAUGUCCGUCACUGGUAUCCACGGUCUCCAUCCUGAGGCCCCAGGCCAGGCAAGAUGGUGAGCUGAGACCUCCACGUCCUCCUAGGACACAGCCCUUUGAUCAGCUCGGGGGAGGGGGCUGCAGGAAGCCUUAGCCCCCCUGACCCGACCUGGCCAGGCAGCUGGGGGGCUGGGGGCGAGAAGCCCUGCCCACCUCAGCAGGUCCCUGUGCUAUGGCACCCAACCCAAGGCCACCCCCUCAGCACCAGGAUGGGGGGGGGCAGCUUGGGCAGGCUAGGUGGCCCGAGGGGUGUGGCCCAGGGUGGCACCUGUCCCCAGCUGCUCAGCACUCCCCUGCGUUUGGGGAGGGUGGCAGCUCCAGAACCGCAAGUCCCAGCCACCUGCUCCAACGCCAGCAGACGGGGGUUCCAGGAGCCCCACUCACCUGCAGGGAGCCAUGGGGAACAAGCCCAGCCCAGCAGGCACCCCCAGGGCGGGGGUGGGGGGCACAGGGGCUCCCCGUUGACCCUCAGCCAGACCCAGGGCAGCGUCCCACAGGACUGUCCUGACACCUGGCUCCACUGGCGCAGGCCUGGAGGGUCCGCCGGGGCCCCUUCCACCCACCUCGUGCUCCCAGGCAGUCUCACCCAGACCCUGUGUCCCCCCCACCCCCAGCUUCGCUGUUCCAAGAACAGAGGCUGGUCCCAGGGGAGAGGAAGGGGCUCCCCUGUGGACCACCCGUCACCGCCCCCCACCAACCCCUUCCCAGAAAAAUCCAGAGGGUGCAAGUGAAGUGUCUCUUCACAAGCUGUGCCCUGCGUCUGCUCGGGGUUUGAGGCUUGGAAGUCCUGCUCAGCGCACGCUACGCUGUCCCCACAAGGUGGCGCCAUCGCCCCACCUGUGCCUCCGCCCCAGGGCAGCGUGGAGCGGCUCAGAGGCAUGGGGGCCGUCCUAACAGGUCCGGACGGCCGGAGGCUCUGACGCAGAGGCUCCUCUCUGCGGGCCCGGCCCCCGCACAGCUCCAGCGGGCCCCUGGCACCCUCCCACCCAACUCCGCAAGCACAGCCUACAAGCCCCGGGGCCGUCGGGCUCCAGACACAGAGGAAGUGCUCAGGCAGUCCCUGCCUUCUGUGUCCAGGCUCCCAGAAGCAGGUGAGGGGCUGUCACCCCUGCCUGGAGGCCCCCAGGGGGCUCUUGACCCAACCCCGCCUCCAUCGGGCCAGGCUGCAGCCAGCGAGAAAGGACGCACACACGGAACGAAAAGUGACACCUUUAAUGCGCUGAGCAGAAUUUUACAUAAAAUCAGAAAUCUGUGAUUAAUCCCCGCUCCGAUUAGUAAAAAAAAUCCAAGAUUCGUCGCAAGGCAUAUGUGCAAUUAGGCCCCAAUUCAAAGUCGGCGGCAUAUCUGGUCCAGCCUCAGGUGCCAAGCUAUUUUCCGUUCUCCGCGCUGAACAUUCGUUCCUAGAGAUGGGCAGUGUGAGCUGGUGCGCUGUCCUCCCCCGCCCCGCCCCGGCCCCUCCCAACCGUAACCCCGGGCUCUCACCCUCAGCAUCCGCUCCAGCUUCACAGCGUCCGCGGCGAACCUGCGGAUCCCGUCUGAGAGCUUCUCCACGGCCAUGCGGUCCUCGUUGUGCAGCCAGCGGAAGGCCUUCUCGUCCAGGUGGACCUUCUCCAGGUCACUGGCCUGGGCUGGGGGAGGGCAUGCGCCGGGGCCUUGGGCUCAGAGCCGCCCUAAGGCCCCUCCCUGGCGCGGCCCCCACGGCAGGUGGGCUGGACAGCAGGUGAGUGCAGGCUGGCCCUGCGGCUCUAGGCUCCACACCCUCAGGUGACGGAGGCACCGGUGUCCCCAUGGGGGCCUUGAGCGGGGCGGGGGGCUUCUUACCUGCCUUGACCGAGAGCGUGGGCGCCAGCUUGCUGUGGUCCUUGAGCAGCUCCCCCAGGAGCUGGGGUGAGAUGGUGAGGAAGUCGCAGCCCGCCAGGGCCUUGAUCUCGCCCGUGUUGCGGAAGGAGGCGCCCAUGACGACGGUCUCGUAGCUGAACUUCUUGUAAUAGUUGUAGAUCUUGGUGACGCUCUUCACUCCUGGGGAGACAUGCCCGGAGCUGCCACGCCGGCCGCCGGCAGCAGACAGCGCAGCACCCCUCCGCCCCUGCCUCCCAGUGCUCCUCACCGGGGUCCUCCAGGGGCUCAAAGGACUUCUUGUCCGUGUUGGCCACGUGCCAGUCGAGGAUGCGGCCCACGAAGGGGGAGAUGAGCGUCACCCCCGCCUCAGCGCAGGCCACGGCCUGGGCGAAGGAGAAGAGCAGCGUCAUGUUGCAGUGGAUGCCGUGCUGCUCCUCCAGCUGCCUGUGGGCGGGGGAGGGCGGCAUGAACAGCGGGGACACAGCGAGAAACGCUCGCGAUUCAGUAACUGCAAAGGCAGGAACAGGGUCGCCCCAUCCUCGUCAAGAGCAACUCUGGGGCUUCCCUGGUGGCUCAGUGGUUAAGAAUCCACCUGCCAACGGAGGGGACACGGGUUCGAGCCCUGGUCCGGGAAGAUCUCACAUGCCGCGGACCAACUAAGCCCCGUGCGCCACAACUACUGAGCCUGCGCUCUAGAGCCCGCGAGUCACAACUACUGAGCCCGUGUGCCACAACUACUGAAGCUCAUGAGCCUAGAGCCUGUGCUCGUCUACAAGAGAAGCCACCGCAAUGAGAAGCCUGCACACCGCAAAAAAGGGUAGCCCCCGCUUGCCGCAAUUAGAGAAAGCCCACACGCAACAAAGACCCAAUUCAGCCAAAAAUAAAUAAAAUAAAUUUAUUUAAAGAAAAAACAAAACAAAAAACCCCCCAAAAAACUCUGGAGGAACUUCCCUGGUGGUCCAGUGGGUAAGACUCCACGCUCUCAAUGCAGUGGGCCCAGCUUCGAUCCCUGGUUGGGAAACUAGAUCCUGCACACAUGCUUCCACUAAGAAGUCCGCAGGCCUCAACAAAGCCCCGGCAUAGCCAAAAAUAAACAAACAGAUAUUUAAAAACAAA